rnacentral:rRNA from 1 species
GACGAACGCUGGCGGCGUGCUUAACACAUGCAAGUCGAACGGUAAGGCCCCUUCGGGGGUACACGAGUGGCGAACGGGUGAGUAACACGUGAGCAACCUACCCUUGACUCUGGAAUAACGGCUGGAAACAGCCGCUAAUACCGGAUACGACCCGAAGCGUCAUCGCUCCGGGUGGAAAGCUCCGGCGGUCAGGGAUGGGCUCGCGGCCUAUCAGCUAGUUGGUGAGGUAACGGCUCACCAAGGCUUCGACGGGUAGCCGGCCUGAGAAGGCGACCGGCCACACUGGGACUGAGAUACGGCCCAGACUCCUACGGGAGGCAGCAGUGGGGAAUAUUGCACAAUGGGCGCAAGCCUGAUGCAGCAACGCCGCGUGUGGGAUGACGG